rnacentral:misc_RNA from 1 species
AAAUGUAAGAUUUUGUUGUUUGUGAAAUAAAUUAUGCAACAGGUCUCUUUUUUUGGGAAGAAAUAAAUAGUGGGAUGAUAACUGAUAGUUCCUCUUAUAGUAUCUCCAUUUCCCUUUUGCAUUUAAGUAAGUGCACAAUGGGAUUUAUUAAUUUCCUCUCCACUUCACCUUUUUCUUGACUAAGAAAAAAUAGAUACUGAAAGGCUGUGUGCAUGACAAAACCCUGAGAUACAUCCCUGUAGCUGGCAGUGGUUUUAAUUGUUUGUUUUUAUCUUGCAGGGUACAAUGAGUACAGGCAAGGGU